GGGGAUUGGCUCAGUUGGUAGAGCAUCUGCUUUGCAAGCAGAGGGUCAUCGGUUCGAGUCCGAUAUUCUCC
rnacentral:tRNA from 1 species